UACGUAGGUGGCAAGCGUUAUCCGGAAUUAUUGGGCGUAAAGCGCGCGUAGGCGGUUUUUUAAGUCUGAUGUGAAAGCCCACGGCUCAACCGUGGAGGGUCAUUGGAAACUGGAAAACUUGAGUGCAGAAGAGGAAAGUGGAAUUCCAUGUGUAGCGGUGAAAUGCGCAGAGAUAUGGAGGAACACCAGUGGCGAAGGCGACUUUCUGGUCUGUAACUGACGCUGAUGUGCGAAAGC
rnacentral:rRNA from 1 species